UCCCCGCACUUGUGCCCAAUCCCAUUCUCUCCCGUCCUGCUCCACACCAGCCGCCACACAACCCUAGCCCCUUCCUCAUCGAUCCCCACAGCCCCUCCCUCCUCCUCGUUCCUCGCCAGGGCCCAUCCCCACAACCCCUCCCUCCUCCUAGCUCCUCGCCAUGGCCUCCGCCCUAGGAGCCUCGCCCGGGCCUCCUACUCCCUCUCCACCACCGUAGGUGCACACAGACGGCGGAUCCGUGCCGGAGAAGAGCAGCUCUGGUGGGGUGCAGCUGCAACGGAGAUGAAGGAGGUCCGCCGCCCGUCUUUGCCUCCUCAACAUGUCCUUGUUGUUGAGCCUAGCAGCGCAGCAGUCGGGGACAAGGGAAAGGAGCAGGCCGACCCGACCGCAUCUCUUUGCACGAGGACUGGAGGAGCAGGUCGCGAGGGAAGCCGGCACGGCCAGCGGGGGCGCUGCACAGGGAUGCCCGCCUCCGGUUUUCUAUCCUGUCUCCCAAUCCCCCUCCCACCUCCUCGCUCUGAGGAAUUGGGCAAUGGCACGGGGGUGGAACUGGCCGAGGAAGAGGGCGACCGUGAGGGGUUGGAGGCCAAGGAAGAGGGCGACAACGCAAGGGUGAACGAGGGUAUGCCUGUGGUCGUCGCGUUGUGAAACGACGCGACUGGGGAUACAUAUUUGUUUCCUUCCUCUCCUCAACGACGAGCUCUGCUUCUUGAGCUUGCAGGUUGUGGACUUUCUCUUCUCCUCUUGUUGGCUUGCUCUCUGAUCAAGCCAUGGAAGGUACGUCUCCAUCUCUUGGCUCCACAAGGUAUGGGAUAUGUGGAGAGAGCUUUACUAUUGGCAGUGGCUGCAUCAUUUCGACAAGUGGCAUGAUUGAUCUUUGCUAUGUGGAUCGAUGGCAUGAUCUAAAUUAGGUCCUGGAAUGGAAAGAUCAGUUUGGUGGUGCCAUACUAAAUCAAUUAUGUAGGCUUGGCACCUCCCUUGAUUGGUCCGUGAGGUAUACUUCUUAUUUUCCUUAGUUAAGAAAAAUAAAGAAAACAAAUAAACAAUGUAUUGUCUAUAGUUCCAACUCCUAAUGUCAACUUAAUUUCCACCUCGUGUGUCAGUCCUUUACAAUGGAUGAGUAAAGGUCAAAACUGUAAUUGAAGCUUUUGUCGGGUUGUAUAAAGAUGGCCUUAUUUAUAGGUUAGUAUCCUCAUCUUCCCUUGUUCCAGGUGUUAAGCAUUUGUGUUUUGCCUGUUAAGUAAUGCCAUGGUGUUUUGACAUCGAGCUAUGAGUCAGUGUACUGGUUUGAUAGAUCGUAUUGUCAUAUUCACCUCUUCUUUGGAAAUAAAGUAGAAUUAGUUAGUUUUAGGUUUGAAUGUCAGGCAAAAAUCAAAUGGGAGAAGCGACCUAUCAGUCCAGAUUCUAAUUGUUAUUUGGUGUUGAGAUUCAUAUGGCUGACACAUAAUUUUAACUGGGCGAUUUCAGAUGUAAUCUAUUGCCUCUCUGAUGUGAUCUGCUACAAAAUUAUGUCUCAGCCAUCUCUAUUUACAUUACUACUGUAAGCUUCUGAAAGGUAAAUUAUGCUAGGACAAUUCUUGUUUAGCUUUAACUAUGAUAUCCUAAAUGCGCAACUAAAUACUACUGGGAUCACGACUACAAAAAAUAUUAUGACAUGCGAACAAUUCUUGGUUGAAAUACUGUGAGCUUAAAUAACAGGAGCUAAACUGUUUUGCUGUGUUUAGAAUUGGUACUAGAAAAGAUAAUCUAAAUUGUAAAUUCUGAAAGUAUAUUGGACUCUUGCCCUUUUGAAAUUAGUCUUCUAAGCAUUACUUUGUAACAAAUGACAUGAUAACUUGCUGGUUCAGUUUAAAGUUGCAGGCAAACGCUUGCGGUAGGGGAAAAUUCUUAUUCAUGGCAUCUUUUUGUGGCUACAAUAAUCAUUCCCGUGAUUAAUCCUUGUGUUUUGUGCUGUAGAGCAACCCUCAGCUGGUCAUCAUCGCUCAUGAUGUUGACCCAGUUGAGCUGGUUGUGUGGUUCCCAGCCCUGUGCAAGAAAUUGGGAGGUCCCAUACCGCAUUGUUAAGGGAGAAUCACACCGUGGACCCUGUAGGUAUUUCCUAAUGUAAGUGUCGUGUUUUCCUUCUUUGUGCACCUGGACGGGAGUGCUCAUGAGAGCGACGACAUGCUACUGAACUCAAUUUCAGAGAUGAAUUUGGGGGCCAGCGGUCUGGAGCCCCUCAUUAGAAGUGCUCAGGCGGCAUGUCACAGUUGUUUGCUGAGAAUUUACCAGGAACAAUUUUUGCUUGUCUCUAGCAUGAGGCUAUGAGCCCUAUAGUAGUUCCAGUGUGAUGAUCUACCACUUGUCUAGGAAGGGGGAUUAAAAGAUGGCACUUGUCAUUUGGAGCAAUUAGUAUUGGACCAUUUGAGGAAGUAAAUGUUUAAACCACUAAACCUUAUACUCAUUUGUAAAAAGGUUAUGUGUUUUUUUAAUCCAUUAGCAGAGUUAGUUUGUCUAGAAUAACUAACUAUCUGGAGUUCUGGACUAAUAUGGAAUGAUGAAAAUUUCAGAACUAGAUAUAAAAUUUGAUGCGUCUGGCUUGUUUAACUUGCAGUCUUUAUUUCUAAUAAUUUUGUUGUUGUUGAGGUUGCCCCUAGGUUUUAUUACUGUGGGUCUAAUUUAGAUAAUUUGAAAAUAGUCCUAUAUAGGAGUAUGCUCAUCUAUAACAGUUGGGAGGGAAAUCAUACCAAUUACAGAUUUUGUCAAAACUUGGCAUUACUAUAUGCAUAAAUCUAAAUUAUUGUUCAUAAUGGAUUCACCACUACUGUACAUAAGCUACAUUUGCUAUGUAUAUAAGCCGAAUUAGUAGCACUAUGUCCUGUUUUCUUGCUUCAAUACCGUGUACUGCCUCUUUACUUUGUUCUCCACAUUUUAAAUUUCAUCUUUCUUUGGAAGUAUAGUCGCCAACUUAUGGUCUGCAUUGUGUAUAACCGAAAUGAGUGAAGUUUCCUAAUACCAUUGUCUAUAACUGAAAUGAGUGUAGUUUCGUAAUACCAAAGCAUGUGCACUCACAUAUUUGUCUCUCUUUUAGUGUUGCUGAAUGCAUAAAAAACAUGCACACGGCCAAAAGUUAAAAAAGUCCGAGGUAUUGGGUUUUCAUUUUUCUCUUAGAAUUGUUCAUGUUGAUGCUGUUGUCAUUUUUUCUGAAAUUUAGACAACUCUUUCCGCUUAAUAAUAGUUUACCGAUUUCAGUGCAUCCUAUGUAUGUUUGACUGAUUGGUCGUCCUCUCAUCCAGAGUUACUCAAUGUUGCAUUUGUGUGUUCCUUUACCCCACUUUGCUUAUUUUUUGGUCAUGUGAGCGGGUUGUGUGUUAUUGUUUCCAUCGUCAUUUAGUAUGCUGAUGUUUUUUAAGAUGACUUCUAUAUUGCUGGAAACUUAAAUUUUAAUUUACACAUUUGAGCAGCUGACUAGAUCAAGAAAUAAUUUUUGUAAGAUUGAGGCCAGUUUAUUUGGUAAGGUAGAAGAAAAAUAGGAUGAAUAUGCACAUGUUAUUACUGUACGAAGGCUAAACGCUGAAUAUCAUUGAUGGUUCUUUCCUGAGGUUGAGUAGGAGUGUCUCCCUUUUUCGUAUAAUUUUGUCUCCACAAUUUCCUAAAGAAUAGUUUGGUUCUAGAACAAACAUGCUAUGAAUAAUUGCAUUGUUACUUCAGUGAAAAGUUCCUGGGCAAACUAUGUGUUCCUCUGGACUUGGUUGAAAGUAUUUCUUUUGUUAUCCAAUUUCUCACUACACAUGUUACCUUUGUUUCUGAAUUUUGCCUACAAUUUCUAUAUAGUAGACUCACAUGAUUACCUCAUGCGGAUUCUAUAACUUGGAAAACACAUCUAGGAUAUUCAUGUUGUGUGUGGUGCCCUGGAGAAAGCUUUGCUACUCCAGUCAGCCACUUACACGACAACCCAGAAUUGAUUCAUAAUUUCAUGUUUACACUUCUAUUACAGUAGACCAACAUGUCAUAAACAUGGUGUUGGUCAUUGUUUGUCCAGUUCCCUUCAAAAAAAGAAGAGAUGGCAGGGAGUGGCUCCAUCACUGAAGAGACGACAAACAUUUUGCAAGGCAUUGUUUAUUCAGGUCCUUCAAAAAAUAAAGGAAUUACAAUGCAUCUAACCUAUAAAGGGGCUGUGAAGGACAAAAUGCUAUGGACCCAGAGGAGUGGGAGGGGAGAAUUUACCAACAAUGCAUCAAGGACAAAGCGUGACCUGGUUUCCUAAGUUCCAGCUAACAUAGCAAAAUUGUAUAGAGAGAAUGCCCGCAUUUUUCUAUUACAUAGUUUGAGGCUAUGUUUCUUUUAUUUUUCAUUAUUAAAAGCAUCUUUAUCAUUGCCAAAUUAUCAAGCAUUUAUUUUCAAAUAA